AGCAGUCGCCACGGUAAUACGGAGGGUGCAAGCGUUAAUCGGAAUUACUGGGCGUAAAGCGCACGCAGGCGGUUUGUUAAGUCAGAUGUGAAAUCCCCGAGCUUAACUUGGGAACUGCAUUUGAAACUGGCAAGCUAGAGUCUUGUAGAGGGGGGUAGAAUUCCAGGUGUAGCGGUGAAAUGCGUAGAGAUCUGGAGGAAUACCGGUGGCGAAGGCGGCCCCCUGGACAAAGACUGACGCUCAGGUGCGAAAGCGUGGGGAGCAAACAGGAUUAGAUACCCCUGUAGUCCCUGUCUCUUAUAA
rnacentral:rRNA from 1 species